rnacentral:rRNA from 1 species
AUUGAACGCUGGCGGCAUGCCUUACACAUGCAAGUCGAACGGCAGCACGGGGCAACCUGGUGGCGAGUGGCGAACGGGUGAGUAAUGCAUCGGAACGUACCUUUCAGUGGGGGAUAACGUAGCGAAAGUUACGCUAAUACCGCAUAUUCUGUGAGCAGGAAAGCAGGGGAUCGCAAGACCUUGCGCUGAUUGAGCGGCCGAUGUCAGAUUAGCUAGUUGGUGAGGUAAAGGCUCACCAAGGCGACGAUCUGUAGCGGGUCUGAGAGGCUGAUCCGCCAAGCUGGAACCGAGACACGGUCCAGACGCCUACGGGAGGCAGCAGUGGGGAAUUUUGGAAAAUGGGGGCAACCCUGAUCCAGCCAGGCCGCGUGAGUGAAGAAGGCCUUCGGGUUGUAAAGCUCUUUCGGCCGGGAAGAAAUCGCACGGGCUAACACGUCUGGGAACUGACUUAACCCAAAGAAAAAGCACCGGCUAACUCUGUGCCAGCAGCCGCCGUAAUAC